GUGUAUGUAUGUGUGGUGUAUAUAUAAAUGUGUGAGUGUGUAUGUGUGCAUGUGUCUGUUUGUGAGUGUACGUGUCUGUGUAUAUGUGCUGCAUGUGUGUCUGUGUGUGUGUAUAAGAGAGUAUGUGAACAUGUGUGUGUAUAUAUGUGUGGUGUAUAUAUGUGUGAGUGUGUGUGUAUGUGUGUGUUUGUGUGUAUGUGUCUGUCUGUCCGUGUGUGCAUCUGUUAUUUAAUUAGAGCAAUUUUGGCAUCUGAUUCCUAGUUACACAUGUCCAAAUGGCAGCUGACUUUAAGGACUCAUUACA
rnacentral:lncRNA from 1 species